rnacentral:rRNA from 1 species
GCAAGUCGAACGCCCUCUUCGGAGUGAGUGGCCGACGGGUGAGUAACACGGGGGAAUCUACCUAUCUCUACGGAACAACACAUAGAAAUGUGUGCUAAUACCGUAUACGCCCUUCGGGGGAAAGAUUUAUCGGAGAUAGAUGAGCCCGCGUUUGAUUAGCUAGUUGGUGAGGUAAUGGCUCACCAAGGCGACGAUCUAUAGCUGGUUUGAGAGGAUGAUC